GGAAAGUUCCUCACCUGGUGGUGCAGGCCCCAAGUCCAUUCUGAAGAACGGCUCAGGCUGCUCACUGGCUCCUCUCUGCUAAACAACCUUUGCCAGGGGUCACUGGGAGUUACCCUCUUGGAAGCCAGCAGCUCCCCUGGCCAUGACUUUGUUUCCUUCCCAGAUUAUUGAUAGAUUCGUAGAUGGUUCUGGGAGUUUCCUGAAAACUGAAAUUUGGACGGAAGAAGAAACUGUUCUGAGCAGCUGGCAGACUACACAGUCCGAGGGAAGAUGGUGGCACGUCUGGCCAUGGCGAUGGGCAUACAUUGAGCCGGGCACAAGGAGGCCAUCUUGUCAUGGUAGUGGGGUUGAGGAGAGCCAGUGCAUUUGUCCUGUGUAAAGUCCCCCGCUCUGGACUAAGCUGAUUGCAUCCAUCCAGUGUCAUGUGUCGUGUCUCUGGCCUCCAGACUUUCUGGGCCAGCGUCAUGUAACCCUGCAGUUGCUGUGGCACACCAGCUAAAACCAGCUCGCAGGAGAAGAACAUGUCCUGUGUGUAGGGAUGUCAAGUAGGGGUCAGCCUGAUUCCAGUUCUUGUAAAUUUCCUCACCAACUUUAUGGAUAAAAGCAAUUUUCAAACUCUA